AUUGAACGCUGGCGGCAGGCCUAACACAUGCCAGUCGAGCGGAUGAAGGGAGCUUGCUCCUGGAUUCAGCGGCGGACGGGUGAGUAAUGCCUAGGAAUCUGCCUGGUCGUGGGGGAUAACGUCCGGAAACGGGCGCUAAUACCGCAUACGUCCUGAGGGAGAAAGUGGGGGAUCUUCGGACCUCACGCUAUCAGAUGCGCCUAGGUCGGAUUAGCUAGUUGGUGGGGUAAAGGCCUACCAAGGCGACGAUCCGUAACUGGUCUGAGAGGAUGAUCAGUCACACUGGAACUGAGACACGGUCCAGACUCCUACGGGAGGCAGCAGUGGGGAAUAUUGGACAAUGGGCGAAAGCCUGAUCCAGCCAUGCCGCGUGUGUGAAGAAGGUCUUCGGAUUGUAAAGCACUUUAAGUUGGGAGGAAGGGCAGUAAGUUAAUACCUUGCUGUUUUGACGUUACCAACAGAAUAAGCACCGGCUAACUUCGUG
rnacentral:rRNA from 1 species